CCCUCACGCCUGUUCUCUCUCUCUCUCUCUCUCCCUCAAGCCUUUUCAUCUUCGUCAAGCCACACUGCCACCGCCGUACGACAACUCCCUCACAUAAUCAGCCCAAAAGCUCCACUCCAGUACAUUCAACAAUUUGGGUUGUGGGUUUUACUUAGGGUUUUAUUGGGCUACUGGGUAUAAUGCUGAAAGGGGAAAGAAUGGCGAAGAGGUCUUCUUUUGGGAUUGGGAGUGUAGUAAGGAAUAGGCUAUCAGAUAUAACCAACUUAAUUCCACAACCCAAGUCCCCUUUCCCCGAUAAAAAGCUCUCACAGACCGAUUCCUCGGCGAAGGAACACAUUGAUCAUCUUGUCAAGGAAAAUAUUGCAUUGGCCAAACUUAUUGCAUACAAGAAGUAUGCUUUUGUGGUUUUGGCCUUUUGUGUUUGAGUACUUACGCUUUUUUCUAUCAUUUUGCUCUUGACAUUGUAAGUGUUAAGGUCUCCUUAUUUUGGUUCAACAGUAAAAUUAGUCUUCAGAAAAUGCAGAUGCAAAAUUGGAACCAUUGCUUAAUUUUUUUCUUUUGAAACUGAAUGUGUUCCAUCUAUCUUUCUGGAGUUUAAUUUAGGUAAACAUAAGUUUGAUGGAUUCCGACUGGGAAUUCACGUCUGUUUGUAUAUCCACUAUCGUCAGCUCUCCUAUGUUGUGCA